rnacentral:lncRNA from 1 species
GCCUACCAGCUGGGCCGUCCCCUGAGAUGGGCCCCCUCCCCUGACCCCUGUCUACACUCAGCCAGAAGCUGAUUUGAGCUGGUCCCACAGUGCUGCCUGUGGGAACCCAAGCCCUUCCUGCUCCUAUCUGCCUCUGGCUGGAUGACGCCCCGGGCAAUUCCGCCCACUGUUUUGACCCCAGGCCCCAAACCUAGGUGAGGAACGCCCUCCUCACAGUCCUUCCCUGCUUCCAGUUCAGUGUUGACAGUGAGCAGUGCUCGCUUUGCUAUGGCUAGGCCCUCACUCUCCUCUCUUUUCAAGGCCCCAAGAGAGUAAGCCAUUUAUUCACACCCUAUCUUGACAGCAAAGCCGGGGCCUUGAACCUGGGGCACUGCUUUCAGCCAUUAUUCUUGCAGAGGCCCCAGAGCUCCCAGCCUGCAUUUUUGGAGUCUGAGCAGGGCCCACAGCUGUUUUGCUUCAGCUAGGAGUGAAGGCUGACAAAGAGCAAGGUCUCUGGAGAAGGAGGAAAUGUUUUCUGGAUGCCAAACUGGUGACUGUGGGGAGGUGUGGGGCAGCGGGGAGGGAGGAGCUCUCACUUGUGCCUAGGGAAAGGUCAUGGUCAAUGAGAAAGCCUUUGAUGGGGAGAGUCUGAGAUGGGACCCAGGAACAUCACCAUGAAGCUGUCCAGGAUGGAUGUGGGACCCUCUGUCAGACCAGGCCAGUUCUCUUAAUGUAAGAUCAGCAGGCCAAGGUCCUGGGAUAUGGGAGCUCCCAGGAAGUGGACUGGGAUGCCUGAGGGAUCCAAGAAUUAGCAGUGUCCUGUGUGGUCUCGCUGAGGGAAGCCAGGCAAAAUCUAGCGGCUCAGCUGUAACAGCCGGAGCUCUUGGCUCCCAAGCAACAGGAAACAAUUCUGGCUUAUUUAAGCAGAAAAGGACUUUAUCAAAAGGAUCUUGGGGAACUCACAAAAUAACCAAGAGGGCUGAAGAAUACAGUUGGUGAGUCGACCAAGGAGGCUGCACAGCAGUCAGGACCACAGCCAAAGUCAGGCAAUCCAGGGAUGACCUCGCUGCCAAAUCCAGGACUCCCUGGCAUACACUGCCACCUUGGGACGUGGAUAUGGUCCCUGUCGCCCCAGGAACUGGAAUGCCAUUGACUUGGCGACUGCCACCAUCCACCAGAAUGGACUUCUGUGCUCCUUGCAUCUCUGUAUUAUUAGUUCCCAACUCCAAGCCUUUGAUGGGGGCAUCUGAUGGAUUGAGCCUAAGGAUUCUGAUGGUGCCUGUUGGCUGCUUCCGUGAUGUCUGGAGUUGCAAAAUGUGCCAGAAAGCAGAAGGAUACACCGCUAUUCAGAGAGGAUUUUCUUAGGGACUUGAAGAAAUUGACCUCAAAAUUUCAGUAGAUGAGAGGACUGUGGCUGGCCUGUGUCUUUGGCACUGGGUACAUUCUGUCAUUCUUGUUGUACCUACAUAAGAGAAUUUAACUCUGGGUUCUCCCUGACUAAUUCCAGAGGAAGUAAAUGGGUAGACCUUUAACACUUCUGUGCCAGAAGUGGGACAGAAGGGACCUUGGAGGGCAUCUAGUCCAACCUUGCCAGCUGAGAAGCAGGAUUACCUGGUGGUUGGGAGCACAGACUUGAAGCCACAUAGCCCCAGUUUGAAACUGACUCCACCGCUUACUAGCAGUAUGACCUUGGACAAGUUACUAACCUCUGCCUCAGUUUCCUCAUCUGUAAGGUGGGGAUGGCAAUAAUUGUCGUUGCAUCAUGGGACUCUAGUGGGGGACUAAAUGAGUUAACACAUGUAAAGCACCAAGAACCUGCAAGGCAUACAGUAAGCCCUUGAUAAGAUAAAGAAAUGAGGCUCAGAGAGGAGGAGCAACCUCCCCAAGGUCACUCAGGGAAUUGGCAAACUUAAUUGGAUUCAAUGAAAAAAGAAAAGAGGUUAUUGCCUCUUGGAAAUUUUGACUAAUAACUGUUUUCUUUGCCUGUGUUACAUCAUCCUGGCCGAACACUUGGAGAGAAUUCUAAUGUGGAAGUCAGGGCAGUGCAUUCUGUUGCGGGUGCACCUCUCACUGAUGGUGGCCCUAGUUUUGGGCUGGAUGGUCUCUGGGAUUCCUGUCAGUACUAACAUCUUAUAAUUCAAAAUCAGGGUCUGCACUCUCCAUUCAAGCCAAGCCUGUCUUUUCCUACAACACUCUUUGCACUCUUUGUUUCCCUCCCCUGCCAACCCCCACCAUUUUCCUCUGACAUUUUGCCCACUGUAUCUCACAGGCAUCAACAACCAGUUUCCCCUUGGCUUUCUGACUCUGCCCCCCUCCUCAUUAUUCCCUCCCCUUUUCUCCUCUGCUAGGGCAAUUAUGGUCAUCAACUGCCCCACACCUUAGCCCUGCAGUUGGCAUAUUUAAGUUGAUUAUACAUGAUCAGUCUUGUAGGUUCCUUGAAAGUUACCAUGUUGGCAGCUUGAAAGUAGGGAUUUCAUUUAUUCCUUAUCAUGACCCACUUUGAGGGCCUGAUAGAGUGCCCUUGGCAGGGUUAUCCUUUAUGGUUUGUUGACUGACGCCAAAACGAUUGGAAAUAUUGGAUGAAAUCUUACAUUAUCAAGACUCUUUCUAGUACAUUCAGUACAGCUGUCAUUGAUGUCCUUUGUUUGCAAGGAAGCCAGUAUUGUCAAACUCUAAAACCCAACAAAAAGGAUAUUUUAAAACAAUUAUAAUUUUAAACUUGAAAAUGUCCAGCUGGGACACAGGAGUACGUUAGAUACUUCUCCUGCCACCCUCCUUUCUCCUCAACAUCAUCCCACCCCACUCUCCCUAAUAUACAGGCCCAAGUCAAAUGUUACAUUACCACCUAUUGGUUAAAUGAGCCAUUGCAGCCCAGCUCUACAAGACAUUGUAAAUUUCUGGGUAGCAGUGAGUGGUGUAGAUCCUUUUAUGGUUCAUAAGUAUGUUGAUUAUGUUUUCAUGCUAUUGUGUGAGAUGUACCUCCCUCAAACCUUGUUAUGAUGUCAGCACAUUAUCCAUCUGAUGUGAAAAAAAAAAAUGGUGAGUGGAGAGUGAAAUGCUGGGAGCUGAGAAGGUAGAGUCAGGUAUGGCCCAGAGAAAUAUAUUUUGGAUUAGGCAGAUCCCAAGGAAAUAGUGAGGGCUAAUAGCAGAGGGAGUCGUAGAGUACAAAAGAAAUGACUAAGCACUUUAGGGGCUGCAGAGGAAAAGUAAACAGCUAUUUGGGGACACCAACUUCUGCACUGCGUACUAAUACUAGUGUAAAUAUAGCAAGGCCCAGUGUAUAUAUAACAAUGCAGAUAUAGUUGGCUGACCACCAAUGUAAUCCUGCUUUUCCCAAACCUUUUUCCCUAAAGUUGUUGGAGCCCAAUGAAAAAUUCUACAUUGAAGACUAAGGGAAAAAGAGGUUUCAUUAUAGAGCUGGGACUGAUUGCAUUUUCAAAAGGUGGCUGCAACAAUAUCCCACACACUUUUCUGCUGUAUAAUCUGCCACUUCUCCAUCAAGUAGAGGAGACAAUUUCUCCCCUCCUUUGAAUCUGAGUGAGUUCUGUGACUGUUUUGACUGAUAGAAUGAUGUGGAAGACAGACUGUGUGACCUGAAAGGUGAGGUCACAGAAAGCCUUGCAACUUCCACCUGGCCUGUGAAGAACACUUGCUCUUGGGAUACUCCUUCUUGGAACCCAGCCACCAUGCUGUAAGAAGCCCAAUCUACAUGCAGACACCACAUAUAAGGCAUCGUAGUCAACAGCCACAGUUAAGUUCCCAGCCGGCAGCCAACAUCAACUACCAGUCUUGUGAGUGAGCUAUCUUGGACAUCCAGCUUGGUUAAACCUUCAGAUGACUCCAGCCCCAGCUGACACCUGACUGCAACCACAUGAGAAACCAGGAAUGAAAAUCCACCAGCUGAGCCCAGUCAACUCAUAGAACUGUGAGAGAUAAUAAUAAGUUGUGGUACUAAGCCACUAGGAUUGGGGCACCAUGCAAUAAUAGGUAACCAAGACAGUAGCAACUUUGGUUAGACACAUGAGCCAUGGGAUGACACAUAAUUAGGUAUAUUUUUAAAAACUUGGAUUCAGCUUUAGGGCAAUGUGUCCCUAACAUAGAGAGGCACUAUUUCAGUUCACAUCUGCUGCCUCUGAUCAAAACACUCUCUUGCACUUCCAGAGAGAGAGAGAGAGAGAGCAAAUGUGUGUAUUUACUGACAGGUGUCCCUUUGUGUCCCCAUCUGUGUGACUGUGGAGCUCAGUGUCUCUCACACAUUCUAGUAUGAUACUUGGUGCCAUAUUUGCAGGUCCUGAGGUAAGAACCCAUGCUGUUGUCUUCAGAGAGUUUCAUGGGUUGGACUGUGCCAUAUAUGGGCAAAAAUCCACCCACACGUUUUCUUUUAAUCACCUUUAUGGAUGUAUAAUUUACAUAUAUACUUUUUUCUUAUUACUUUUUAUUUAUGUAAUUUAUUCAUUUUUUGAGAUAGGGUCUCACUCUCUUGCCCAGGCUGGAGUGCAGUGGAGUGAUCAUGGCUCACUGCAGCCUUGACCUCCUGGGCUUAAGCAAUCCUCCCACUUCAGCCACCUGAGUAGCUGGGACCACAGGCACACACCACCACUCCUGGCUAAUUUAAAAAGUUGUUUUUUUUUUUUUUUUUGUAGAGACAGGGUCUCACUAUGUUGUCAAGGCUGGUCUCAAACUCCUGGGCUCAAGCGAUCCUAGUGCCUCAGCCUUCCAAAGUUCCGGGAUUACAAGCAUGAGCCACCAUGCCUGGCAUCUUUUGUGGAUGUGUAAUUUACAUACGUACAAUAAUAUGUACCUAUUUUAAGUAUACAGUUUGAUGAGCUUUGACGAAUGUAGCCCACGAAACCACCACCAUAAUCGAAGUAUAGAACUUUUUUUUUUUUUUUUUUUGAGACGAAGUCUCUCUCUUGUCACCCAGGCUGGAGUGCAAUGGCAUGAUCCCGGCUCACUGAAACUUCCGCCUCCCAGGUUCAAGCGAUUCUCCUGCCUCAGCCUCCUGAGUAGCUGGGAUUACAGGCACCUGCCACCACGCCCAGCUAAUUUUUGUAUUUUUAGUAGAGACAGGGUUUCACCAUGCUGGCCAGGCUGGUCUCGAGCUCCUGACCUCAGGUGAUCCCCCCUCCUCGGCCUCCCAAAGUGCUGGGAUUACAGGCAUGAGCCACUGCGCCCGGCCUAUAGAACAUUUUAAUCACCCCAGAGAUGUGCCCCCUGUGCAGCCAGUUCCCUCCUCUCACCCCCCAGCCCCUGGCAAGCAUUGAUUUGCUUUGCCACUAUCAAUCAAUUUUUGUCUUUUCUGGUAUUUCAUAUGAAUGGAAUCAUAUAGGAUAGAUUUUUAUGUGACUACACACUAUUUUAGCAUAAUAUUUUUGAAGUUCUUCCAUGUUGUUGUGUAUAUCUAUAGUUAAUUUCUUUUUCUCACUGAAUUGUAUACCACUGUAUGAUGUAUCACAAUUUGUUUAUUCAUUCUCCCGUUGCUGGACAUUUGGACUGUUUAUUGUUUGGGGCUACUAUGAAUAAAACUGCUAUGGAUGUUUAUGUACAAGA